rnacentral:rRNA from 1 species
CAGGCCUAACACAUGCAAGUCGAGCGAGAAAGCACUUCGGUGUGAGUAGAGCGGCGGACGGGUGAGUAACGCGUAGGAAUCUACCCAGUAGUGGGGGACAACAGUCGGAAACGGCUGCUAAUACCGCAUACGCCCUAUGGGGGAAAGCGGGGGAUCUUCGGACCUCGCGCUAUUGGAUGAGCCUGCGUUGGAUUAGCUAGUUGGUGGGGUAAAGGCCUACCAAGGCGACGAUCCAUAGCUGGUCUGAGAGGAUGAUCAGCCACACUGGGACUGAGACACGGCCCAGACUCCUACGGGAGGCAGCAGUGGGGAAUAUUGCGCAAUGGGGGAAACCCUGACGCAGCCAUGCCGCGUGUGUGAAGAAGGCGCUAGGGUUGUAAAGCACUUUCAAUAGAGAGGAAAAGCUCACCGUUAAUACCGGUGAGCCCUGACGUUACCUAUAGAAGAAGCACCGGCUAACUCCGUGCCAGCAGCCGCGGUAAUACGGAGGGUGCGAGCGUUAAUCGGAAUUACUGGGCGUAAAGCGCGCGUAGGCGGUUUGUUAAGUCGGACGUGAAAGCCCCGGGCUCAACCUGGGAACUGCACCCGAUACUGGCCGACUAGAGUACGAGAGAGGGAGGUAGAAUUCCACGUGUAGCGGUGAAAUGCG